rnacentral:rRNA from 1 species
ACCUUCCUGCCUGACUCUUCGACUUUUGAGUAGAUUGUCCUCGGGACGCAGUACAGUGCUGCAUGGCGUGUCAGCUCUGUCGGAGUGUUGGUUAAGUCCGCAACGAGCGCACCCUUGUCCUAGUUGCCAGCAUUAGUUGGCACUUUAAGGAGACCGCCGGUGACAAACCGGAGGAAGGUGGGGAUGACGUCAAGUCAUCAUGGCCCUUAUGGCCAGGGCUACACACGUGCUACAAUGGCAAGUACAGAGGGCAGCGAAGCCGCGAGGUGAAGCUAAUCCCACAAAGCUUGUCGUAGUCCGGAUUGCAGUCUGCAACUCGACUGCAUGAAGUCGGAAUCGCUAGUAAUCGCGAAUCAGCAUUGUCGCGGUGAAUACGUUCCCGGGCCUUGUACACACCGCCCGUCACACCAUGGGAGUUGGUUGCACCAGAAGUAGGUAGUCUAACCUUCG